GUCUAUGGCCAUGCCACCCUGAAUGUGCCUGAUCUCGUCUGAUCUUGGAAGCUAGGCAAGGUUGGGCCUGUUUAGUACUUGGAUGGGAGACCACCUAGGAAUACCAGGUGCUGUAAGCG
rnacentral:rRNA from 1 species